rnacentral:rRNA from 1 species
UACGUAGGGGGCAAGCGUUGUCCGGAAUCAUUGGGCGUAAAGCGCGUGUAGGCGGCCCGGUAAGUCCGCUGUGAAAGUCCAGGGCUCAACCCUGGAAUGCCGGUGGAUACUGUCGGGCUCGAGUCCGGAAGAGGCGAGUGGAAUUCCUGGUGUAGCGGUGGAAUGCGCAGAUAUCAGGAGGAACACCGGUGGCGAAGGCGGGUCUCGUGGGCAGUGAACUGACGCUGAGGAGCGAAAGCGUGGGGAGCGAACAGG